rnacentral:rRNA from 1 species
GUGGAUUAAAGGUGGCUUUUGGGCUGUCGCAGAUGGAUGAGCCUGCGUUGGAUUAGCUAGUUGGUGAGGUAAGGGCCUACCAAGGCUACGAUCCAUAGCUGAUUUGAGAGGAUGAUCAGCCACAUUGGGACUGAGACACGGCCCAAACUCCUACGGGAGGCAGCAGUGAGGAAUAUUGGACAAUGGGGGCAACCCUGAUCCAGCAAUGCCAUGUGUGUGAAGAAGGCCUUAGGGUUGUAAAGCACUUUAGUUGGGGAAGAAAGCUUUGAGGUUAAUAGCCUUGAGGAAAAGGACGUUACCCAAAGAAUAAGCACCGGCUAACUCCGUGCCAGCAGCCGCGGUAAUACGGGGGGUGCAAGCGUUAAUCGGAAUUACUGGGCGUAAAGGGUCUGUAGGUGGUUUGUUAAGUCAGAUGUGAAAGCCUAGGGCUCAACCUUGGAACUGCAUUUGAUACUGGUAAACUAGAGUACGGUAGAGGAAUGGGGAAUUUCUGGUGUAGCGGUGAAAUGCGUAGAGAUCAGAAGGAACACCAAUGGCGAAGGCAACAUUCUGGACCGAUACUGACACUGAGGGACGAAAGCGUGGGGAUCAAACAGGAUUAGAUACCCUGGUAGUCCACGCUGUAAACGAUGAGUACUAGCUGUUGGAGUCGGUGUAAAGGCUCUAGUGGCGCAGCUAACGCGAUAAGUACUCCGCCUGGGGACUACGGCCGCAAGGCUAAAACUCAAAGGAAUUGACGGGGACCCGCACAAGCGGUGGAGCAUGUGGUUUAAUUCGAUGCAACGCGAAGAACCUUACCUGGUCUUGACAUCCUGCGAUCUUUCUAGAGAUAGAUUGGUGCCUUCGGGAACGCAGUGACAGGUGCUGCACGGCUGUCGUCAGCUCGUGUUGUGAAAUGUUGGGUUAAGUCCCGCAACGAGCGCAACCCCUAUUGAUAGUUACCAUCAUUAAGUUGGGUACUCUAUUGAGACUGCCGCUGACAAGGCGGAGGAAGGUGGGGACGACGUCAAGUCAUCAUGGCCUUUACGACCAGGGCUACACACGUGCUACAAUGGGUAUUACAGAGGGC